ensembl:lncRNA
AACGUUAUUAGCGUUAUUAUUAUGUCCUUAUUAAAUCCAAAGACGUCACUUUAAUUUGUGGGAGAUAUGGCUGGCAAACACGUUCGUCUCACACCUCCGGGUCGGGGGUGUGAGGCGAACCUGCUAACCACUAAGCCACCGUGCGCCCCUAUUAGGAUUAUUAUUAUUAUUAUUAUUAUUAUUAUUAGUAGUAGUAGUAGUAGUAGUAGUAGUAGUAGUAGUAGUAGUAGUAGUAGUAGUAGUAGUAGUAGUAGUAGUAUUCAUGUUAUUAAGUUAGUGUAUAAUAGCAUCGAACUGAAAUACAGGCAAAGACAUGGUACCUUUGUCUGGAAGCUUCUCCACUGGGGUGAUUUUCUUUUUUGGAAUUUCUUUUAUAAAGAAAGUGAUUUACAUAAAUACAAAUUCACAUAUAUCCUAAAUCAAAAAGAGGAGUUAAGUGAAAUUGCUGCGAUCAGGAAGGAAGCUGAAUGAAAGUUUUUUUUUUUUUUUUAAACAAUGACUUUAUACAUUUAUUUGUUAGAACUAAGGGAUAAUUUUACCUUUCUUUUGAUGUUCAAGCCUGACCCUUUCUUUCGGAGCUUGUUCUUCUAGAGCAAAAAGGAUUAAUGACACAAAAACAGUUGUUUGAUUUGAACAACAAAAAAAAUAGAGCAAAGAUGCCUUCAGAAAUAAUUAAAUUAAAUGUUUCAACAUGGGGAAAAAAAAACACUAUAAAGCGCAGUAAAUAGUAAUGCAUGGAACAAAGUCGGUAUUUCAUGUGACGACCCUUUGCUUAAAAAAAAAAGAAAAAAGAAAAAGUGCUCUAUUACAUAAUAUGCUGCUUUCUUUACUGACAUACAAACAUUUUACUGAAAUUUUGUGCUAGAAAACUAAAAUGUUGGAAAUCUAAAAGUUUUUGUUCUGACCCGAUAAUGUAGAAGUAUUAAAAUAAAUAAGUAAUAAACAAAGUUUGUACUAAAACCUAUAGGGUGCCUAAAACUUUUGCACAGUACUGUACAUCUUUCAAAUUCCCCGAGGGUGUAAACCACACAGCUACCUUUCUUUCCAAAUGCUGCUUUAGUGAUGUUCUUUAGCACCCGCCCUGUAUGAAGAGAAACUUCAGAUCAGUUUUUACAAUCUACACUUCGCCCGGAUGUCUUAAAUCUCAUUCUAUUAUACAUACCUUUCUUCACAGUGGCUGCUUUCGUGAGGUUUUUCAGAGCCUCACGUCCUGGAAGAAGCAAACCGAUUCAAGAUCAACCGAUAAAGUAUAAAUAAAGCAACGAGCACGACGUUGCGUGUUGAUUGUGGUCUUGAGAUUAGAGAUUACCUUUAACCACAGUAGAUACUUUAAGCUUCUCUUUCAAGGGUCCAGGUCCUGGCAGGAAAACAGAGAUGAAUAAAUAAAGAUUUGAGAGAAUACAAGGAUCUUAGUUGUUGGACUUAAUAUUAAAGAAAAAUGUACCUUUACUUUUAAAGAGUAAAUACUGUAACCUCAGAUUAAUCUUAAGUAAGAUGUAUAUGUGUUAUUACUGUACAUGGUAUGAAGCCUUGGAAAGCAAGCCAAUACACACUAAAUAUAUUUAUGACACACUUCAAAGUGAUAAUUAGGCCAUGCACUGUAUUGGCAUGAUAGCAUGUUAGAGUUCUCUACUCUUUUCCCUGCUUUCAUUUUUCAGUUUACAUUUUCAGUUCGUAUAAUUUAUAAGUAAUGAAUAAAACAUGACAUGGUGUGCUAUUAUAGGAAAAUAAUCAACAGUUCAUCCCAAAACAGUGUUGUAUUCCUCUUAAACCACAGCAAUUAAUUUGUUAAUAAAUUUAAAAAACAACACACAUUUCUGUUAUUUAUUUAUUUAUAGUAAUCAAGAAACUAUAAAAACCCCGAACUUCUCUGUCCUGAAGUCUUUCCUGUGACCGACAAGCUCAAUGAACAGCUUUACUUUCGUUACAGUGGUUACGUUUGUUAGCACACCAAUAAAUAACAUUAAGAUAACUAUAAAUGUAAUAAAUAAAUAAAUAAAUAAAUAAAUUAAAAAAGAGGUAGGAGUUAAAUCUUUAACUACUGAAGAAGUGUAAUCAUUGGUAAUCAUUGGUUGCUGUGGUAUAAGAAGAAUACAACUCGGUGGUUAUGUGCUGUAUUCAGAAAAUAUUCAUUCUUGUUGUUCAUUCAUUUUAACUAACCAUGUCUUUUGGGUUUUAUUUAUUUAUUUAUUUUAACUUGUACAUGUGUAGUGUGCCAGUUUUCUAAUACAAACUUUUCUUCAUCACUGCAGGCUUUGCUUUCUCCUUGAAUUCCUUGGGCUCUGUAACAGAAAAAUAAAUAAAUAAAUAAAUAAAUAAAUAUUUAUAUAUAUAUAUAUAUAUAUAUAUAUAUAUAUAUAUAUAUAUAUAUAUAUAUAUAUAUAUAUAUAUAUAUAAUUAUUUCAAUCAUGAACAUACUGUAUAACCAUAACACAUAUCUACCCUUGUUAGCCAUUUUAUUAGAUGCACCUAUUUGUACAAGUACAAGUCAUGGGUGUACAGUUACUGACGGUAGAAUGGUUUUAUGCUCAGUUUGUCUAAUCCAUUCUAAGUAAAGAGGAGCACAUUAAGACCACCACUGGGCAGAUAUGACUUGGGUUAUGGAUCAGCAGUGGCACUGACAUGGUAGUUUACUGGAUGUGUUGCUGUGGAACGAGUGUAUCAGGUACAGCACUAUUGGUGAGGAUUUAAACACCUUAAUGUCACUGCUGGAUUGAGAAACAGUCCACCAACCAAAAAUCUCUUCAGGGAAAAAGAUGAGGAUUAGUAGUUAUAAAUAAAUAAACAAACAGAUGGUUAAAACUACAGAAACUAAACUAUUUGGUCGCAUUUGAAUUGAAUUCAUUCGAAUCCUUUAUAAGUAUUUAGAAAUAUUAAUGUCCAUAUAUACUGUAAGAAUCGUAAGAUUCCCCAUCCAUCCCUCCAUCCAUUUUCUGUACUGCUUAUCCUAUACACGGGGUCACGGGGAGCCUGGAGCCUAUCUAAGGGAACUCUGGGCACAAAGUGGAGGACACCCUGGACGGGUUUGCCAACCCAUCACAGGACACAAUCACACACACUAUGGACAAUUUGGAAAUGUAUACCAGUCUAAAAUGGGGGAGGAAACCAGAGUACCCAGACAAAACCCUAGAAGCACGGGGAGAACAUGCAAAAUUCUCCAUCACUCAGCACACACGAGAUUUGAACCCCGAACCCCAGAGGUGUGAGGGAAACAUGCUAACCAAUAAGCCACCGUGCUCCCUAUAUGUAAGAAUAUUUUUUGUUAAAACCUUUGAGCGUCCGAUUGUCCAUCCUUAAUUGAUCGAUUUGGCUUUGAGUGACCUCCAGAUCGGUUCUUAUUUCACCGAUGUCUUUCCUUAAUAAAUCCAGAAUGGACAGCUUUUGGUUGAUGGCCUUCAGGAGCUCCACUUCCAUGGCGAUAUCUGUGUGUACAAAUUCAAUAAAUCUAUUUAAUAACCGUUUUAUAAUCGUCCUAUCUGACUAUUUGAACUGCAUAUUGAUACAUAUUUAUUGCAUCAUAUUAUGCAAAAUAUGUAUAUUAUGUCUACAGCUGGUCUGAUUCUUAACCUACAAACACAGACCUAAAUUCUCAGUACAAUCUCAGAGGACUAAAAUCUAAUCUAAUAAACAAACUAAUAAAUGAGUUAGGCUCAGAAAGUUAAAACCACACAAGUGUACCUUUGGCACUGGGAUAUACCACAGGGAUCUGUGUUUCUUUCGCGACUUCAGGCUCUGUCAGAGAGGAAAUAUUAAGUCGUAAAUUGAUCUGCUGCAACAGGGCUCUUUUUUAUACGAAUUAUGUGUAAUUAUCUUGUCUUUUUUUCUAAGACUAAAAUCUAGACAGAAGUGUAAAGAAGUGAAAAUAUGACUCAUUGAAUACAGUCAGAGAUUGGCUGGCUGGAUUAUUUUGUGUGUAAAUACCCUCUCUUGGAAGGAAUUGGUUCUGCCUUUUCUUCCACAGGUACAGUUGCUGUAUGAAAAAUAAAGUUAUUUUAUAUAAUAGUGACCUUUGAAAGUAUACCUGCUGUUUUUAUGCAUUAACAAGAGAAAACUAGCAAGCAAAAGCUAUCCAAACAAGUGAAACUAGCAAGCAAAAGCUAUCCAAACAAGAGAAAACUAGCAAGCAAAAGCUAUCCAAACAAGUGAAAACUAGCAAACAAAAGCUAUCCAAACAAGUGAAAACUAGCAAACAAAAGCUAUCCAAACAAGUGAAAACUAGCAAACAAAAGCUAUCUUAACAAGAGAAAACUAGCAAGCAAAAGCUAUCCAAACAAGAGAAAACUAGCAAGCAAAGCUAUCCAAACAAGUGAAAACUAG